UUUAUACGUCGAAUUUCGGUCGCGUCGAAUGCAAUUUGAACAAUAGAUGAUGAAGCUUAUUGAGGAUUAUCAUCUCAUUAUCUAUUGUUUGAAUUACAUUCAACGCGACCAAAAUUCGACAUAUAAA
rnacentral:miRNA from 1 species